UACGUAGGGCGCAAGCGUUGUCCGGAAUUAUUGGGCGUAAAGAGCUCGUAGGCGGCUUGUCACGUCGGGUGUGAAAGCCCGGGGCUUAACCCCGGGUCUGCAUUCGAUACGGGCUGGCUAGAGUGUGGUAGGGGAGAUCGGAAUUCCUGGUGUAGCGGUGAAAUGCGCAGAUAUCUGGAGGAACACCGGUGGCGAAGGCGGCAUCCUGGACCGAUACUGACGCUGAGGAGCGAAAGCCAGGGGAGCAAACGGG
rnacentral:rRNA from 1 species